UGGGGAAUUUUGGACAAUGGGCGAAAGCCUGAUCCAGCCAUGCCGCGUGCAGGAUGAAGGCCUUCGGGUUGUAAACUGCUUUUGUACGGAACGAAACGGUCUUUUCUAAUACAGAAGGCUAAUGACGGUACCGUAAGAAUAAGCACCGGCUAACUACGUGCCAGCAGCCGCGGUAAUACGUAGGGUGCAAGCGUUAAUCGGAAUUACUGGGCGUAAAGCGUGCGCAGGCGGUUAUGUAAGACAGUUGUGAAAUCCCCGGGCUCAACCUGGGAACUGCAUCUGUGACUGCAUAGCUAGAGUACGGUAGAGGGGGAUGGAAUUCCGCGUGUAGCAGUGAAAUGCGUAGAUAUGCGGAGGAACACCGAUGGCGAAGGCAAUCCCCUGGACCUGUACUGACGCUGAGGUGCGAAAGCGUGGGGAGCAAACAGGAUUAGAUACCCAUGUAGUCCCUGAGCGGGCUGGCAAGGCGCAU
rnacentral:rRNA from 1 species